UUCUUAGAUGACUGAGAAUUAAGUAUCAGACUUUUAAUCUGAAAACGGCAUAAAUCACAUAAUGCCUCUAAGAAU
rnacentral:tRNA from 1 species